AAUUGAGAAUGGGUUGUAGGAAGAUGUCUUAAUUGUAAGGAGAUGAAUGAAUUGUCAGAAUGUCUCCCCCCUUCUCCAAAAUCUCUAACAUGAUAGGGUAUUUAUAAUACUCCUAUCCUACUCCUACUAAACUAAUAAAAUAAAUAACCAAAUCCUAAUAUACUAAUGAAAUCCUUGACCCAAUUGUACUAGGGUAAGGUUACAAAAUUAUAAUCCAAAUAGAAUGAUGAAACACAUAACCUAAUUGCACUAGGUUAAUGUAUUAUGGCAAAAAUCCAGCUUUGUGUCUGUAAGUCCCAAAGUCUUCAGAAAUGCUGUUUUAGCCCGGGACAGAUUUUCCAUGCAGCAGAUUUAGUCCUUUAUGCGUCCAGCUCCUUUCCAUCUCGUUUGUGAGCUUUCUUUUGC
rnacentral:lncRNA from 1 species